UGGGGAAUUUUGGACAAUGGGCGCAAGCCUGAUCCAGCCAUUCCGCGUGCAGGAUGAAGGCCCUCGGGUUGUAAACUGCUUUCAGUAGGGAAGGAGCGAAAGUGACGGUACCUACAAAAGAAGCACCGGCUAACUAUGUG
rnacentral:rRNA from 1 species